CUGGUACUCUCUCUGUUCUGAAUUACUUGUCUUGGAUUUGUCUAAAUACAUUCGUAUUUAGACUCAUUUUAGUGGUAGAUACCCCGUAUCUAGACAAAUCUAAGACAAGUAAUUCGGAAUGGAGGGAGUAGAUG
rnacentral:pre_miRNA from 1 species